GGCAGACUCAGAAUUUCCUACAAAAUCUCU
rnacentral:piRNA from 1 species